GACAGAGGCCUCGAGCGUUAGGCGGAAUCACUGGGCUUAAAGCGUGUGUAGGCGGACUUCUAAGUACCUUGUGAAAUCCCACGGCUCACCCGUGGAACUGCUUGGUAUACUGGUUGUCUUGAGCCUUCUAGGGGCGAGUGGAACAAAUGGUGGAGCGGUGAAAUGCGUAGAUAUCAUUUGGAACGCCAAUGGUGAAAACAACUCGCUGGGGAAGUGCUGACGCUGAGACACGAAAGCCAGGGGAGCGAACGGG
rnacentral:rRNA from 1 species